ACAUUGUAGCACUAUCGACCAUAUGUAGCCAUGAUCUGAGUGACGUAACCCAAACAAACAAUUUCUGUCAAGAAACUGAAAAUUUAUCCACCCGCUAUACAGUGAAUAGAACUGAAAGUGUGAAAAGUGUGUUCAACCACCAUGCAACCUGAGAUGCUACGAGAACUACUACCAUUACAUGCAAAAGUGCGGAGCAACCUGGAGAAGAGUUAAGCAGAGACAUCCGAGUAACUUCUCCAUUACUCAGCAACGUUGGUGAGUUUGCAUGUGUUAGGUUACGGGUAUUUCCCUGGGACUCCUCCAUCCCGUGGCGUGGCGGUAACACUGUUACACGAAUCUGCGAUUUCUUAGAUGCAUGGAUAGGCUCAUUCAUGAUCGCAACGAUGCUUGACUUCAAGUUGAAUCGUUUUUUCUUUUUGUGCAGUAGACCUAUUCUACCAUAGUGACUCAAUGUUAGAAAUUUUGCACGUUGCUGAAAGUGGAAUGAGCAUCGCGACAGGUUACCAUCACUUACUCGAUAUUCGCGAAAACAAGUAGUGUUUAGCUACAGAUAUUUACCUACCUAUGUUCGAAUUUUAAAA